GACGGAGGAUCCAAGCGUUAUCCGGAUUCAUUGGGUUUAAAGGGUGCGUAGGCGGACUUAUAAGUCAGUGGUGAAAGCCGAUAGCUUAACUAUCGAACUGCCAUUGAUACUGUAAGUCUAGAGUAUAGAUGAUGUUGGCGGAAUAUGACAUGUAGCGGUGAAAUGCAUAGAUAUGUCAUAGAACACCGAUUGCGAAGGCAGCUGACAAAACUAUAACUGACGCUGAUGCACGAAAGUGCGGGGAGCAAACAGG
rnacentral:rRNA from 1 species